AUGCAACGAAGUCUGGGGAUAAGCUGGGAUGUUGCCACAGACGAGUUCACUUUCGAGGUGUCUGCUAUGGAAAAGCCUUACACUCACAGAGGUGCUUUGUCAACCAUAAGCAGUCUGUAUGACCCGCUUGGUUUCGCUGCCCCAGUUAGCAUCCAAGGGAGGGCUUUGCUAAGAGAGCUUACUAAUGAGACCUGCAAGUGGGGCAACCCACUCCCCGAAACAAAGGUUAAGGUGUGGCAUGAGUGGAAAGACUCCCUCAAGGAUCUGGAACAUGUCAGGAUCCCAAGAACAUACACUUCCAUCUCCCUCAACAGCUCCACAGACAGGGAGCUUUGCAUUUUCUGUGACGCCUCUACUCAAGCCAUUGCAGCUGUGGCCUACAUGAAAGUUACUGAUGCAGAGGGCAAGAGUGAACUUGGAUUUGUCUUUGGAAAAGCCAAGCUGACACCGCAGCCAGAGGCGACAAUUCCCAGGCUUGAACUCUGUGCAGCCAUUCUAGCUGUGGAAAUCGCAGACAUGCUCACAGACGAAAUAGAUGUCCAGUUUCAUUCUGUGCGGUUCUUUACCGACAGUAAGGUUGUCCUCGGGUACAUACGCAACAAAUCCAGAAGGUUCUACGUCUAUGUAAGUAACCGUGUGCAGAGAAUCAGAAAGUCAUCCCGACUAGAACAGUGGAACUAUGUUCCUAUGUUCACCAACCCGGCUGAUCAUGCGUCACGGUCAAUUCCAGCAAACACCUUGAUGUCCAGCACGUGGCUUAAAGGGCCAGAUUUCCUGUUGAAGCCAGAUAGGAACACUGAUGAUAGUGACACUUCCUUUGAUCUAGUCAACCCAGAGUCUGACCCGAAGAUCCGUCCUUUGGUGACAUCUUGUGUCACUAAGGUUGUGGAGUCUCCCUUGAAUCCAAGACGUUUUGAGUCAUUCUCAUCCUGGAGAUCGCUUGUAAGAACCAUAUCAAGGCUGAUCCACGUUGCUGGCUCAUUCAAGCGAGAGAAACAGCAAGUGCAGUUGUCAAGGUUGGCACGUAUGCAGAAGUCUUUGCCCAGAAGAUCUUGUCAAGGCUAA
rnacentral:lncRNA from 15 species